rnacentral:tRNA from 1 species
GGCGGGGUAGCUCAGUUGGUUAGAGCGCGGGACUCAUAAGCCCGAGGUCGUGGGUUCGAUCCCCACCCCCGCUA